AGACAUGCAGCUGAAGUAAUCAUCAGAUUCCCUAUAUGCCACACCUGGAUUAUGAUCACCUCACUGAAAAGCAAAUGCCCACUAAGGAGCAGAUCAUAAUAGCCUGUGUCUCACUGUCAAAAGCAAACAAGGACACUUGUGAAGAUAAAACAAAGCACCUCUAUGAAGGAAGAACAGAAGUAUGCCUUGUGCUCAGGGGGAUAUUCAAACCAUCUUCAAGCAAUUCCAGACAGAUUCACCCAGCUGUUCCUAGGCUCAGCUGGAGCAGCUUUAACCUACCAAGAGCAGUAGCAGUUAGAACAGUUUCCUAGGACUGGCUUGUUACACUAGACCAAAGCCAUACUGCAGGAUACCGAGGAUAGGGGCACACUAAGAAAACCUGCCUGAAGUAGCAGCUCCAGCUCUCCUGUGUUGUUGCAUACAGCACUGACCUACAAAUACCAGAAGGAUAAGCUGUCAAAUGCAACUCUACCAGAAGUCACAAAUUGGAAAGGGUCACAGUCAUUUCCAGAGGAGCUCUAAAGCAAAGUAAUAAAUAAUAUUCAGAAGUUCUGGAUUCUAAAAUAGGCUAUGGUACUUUUCUGUUGGACAACAACACAGGCUCUGCUUAAGAUCUGGAACUUGCCUAUUGCAGUUUAAAAGUAGUAGUCAUAAAGAAUGAAGUCACUACAUUUAGGGUAGACUACAACUCACCUUUUCUGUAUUUCUGAAAAAUUUGUCAUGUGCCAGAGAUGACAAAAUUUCAGGUCAUGCUUGAUUGUCUGGAAUGUUCAAAACUUGUUAUUGACAGCUCCAGAAGCAUUGUGCAAUACUCACUAAUUGAUAAUCAGUUGGUGUAUGAAAUUAGUAGUCUGCUAGUCACUGAGUGCAGAGUAAUUUACGUGGGGAAAAAGAAUCAGAAUUAUUCAUAAAGACAGCUCUUAACACUGAAGUAAGAAAUCUAAGACUCAUUCAUUGGCAAAUCCCUGAAAAGUUUUGAUCAUUCUUUAUAAUGCAAGCACAGUGUUAGUCAAAGGGUAAAUAAAAUAUUCUUGAGAUUCUGAUACACAGCACAUGACUGUCUUCACCACAUCUCAAUAAUUGAUAUAAAUAUAGAAUGGCUGUUUAUACAAUGAAAGGCUAAAUAAGCUCACAAAAGAGGCUAAGAUGAGAUAAGAGGGAUUUAUAAAGCAAAAAUGGUGUGGCAAAGGGAUAAGAAAUAAUUAUUGAUUGUUUCUGAAUGCACAGACUGAUCAGACACAGCAAAGAAGGGAUAAACAGCAGAUUUCAAACAAAAGGAUGUUCUUUUUCUUACAGCACGUCAUUAAAUUGUGGAACUCUUUGCCACAGGAUGUUGUGGAGGCCAAAAGUGUUCAAAAUGGAAUUAGAUACAUUCCUGAGGGCUGGCUCUGCUGGCAGCCAUGAAAAGCGAUGGCUCAGACACAGCUUUUGAUUGAGGAAAUCCCUCCAUUGUUAAUCCCCUGAUAAUUGAAGUCCCCUAAAUUGUUAACUGCUUAUGGCUGAUAUCACAAAAAGAAAGAUCUUCUUUUAAAUGUUGUUUCAUUCCUCCUCCAGUUACCAGCCAUUCACAGGGACAGGAUGGUGGGCAAGUUAAAUGAGCCUUUAGUAUAAUCCUGCACAUCUAUUUUUAUACCAGCAUAUGCAAGGUUAUUGCUUUAAUUGGGAUAAAAUUUUAGGAUUAGGGAGGAAAAUUCACAGAGUUCAUGAGAAGAAAGUUCUUUACCUCUGAAGUCAUCCUUGGCAACAUAUAUCAAACAAUUUUGUAUAUAUUUUAAUUUGUAAAGUCUCGAUGAAGCAAAACUAAUGUUCCCAGGAAGGGAAGAUCUCUCUCAAACUGUGUAAAAUAUAAAAAACAUCCUUAAUUUUACAUACUUUCUUCUAGAGGCAGAUAACUAAUUUCCUCUGUUCCUUGGAAAUUCCUCAGAUGAUCAGGAAAACAAACCCUUCAAAAUGAAACACAGUUGUCUCUGUGUUUAAUGAUUUAAAAGGCUACUCUUAGUACACUUAGGACAGAGUCCAUCCUUAAUUUCCUAUAAAAUUAUUGUUCAGCUAAAUAAAUACAAGUGAGUUUAAGAGAAGGAAUUCAUGGCCUCAAAAAGAAAGGAAUUAAGUUCAAGUUUUAAUGAACAUGUUAAGCAAGAAGGAAAUGCUGUAUGAUAUUAAACAUUUGCCUUUAGACAGCUUUCUAUAUAGUAUCUUGGAUGCCUCAAGGAAAUGGUUUUACAGAAGCAUCACAAUAACGUAGUUGCUCCCUGGGGCAGUUGUUUCUCCUGAUUGUGGCAUGUACUUCCUGCCAUAUGGACAAUCCCACUCUUUCCCCCUGCCCCCCAUCUAAAGAUCUUCAGCCAGGACUUAAUUACCAUGCUUUCAAAAUGUUAGGGAGCUGUGUGUUUCAGGGGCAGGAGGAAGAAGGGAACCAACAUUUCAUUUGCAAGAAGUGGCUUUUCAAAAGCACUGUUUGAGGUGCAUUAAAAUAACCACCAAACACCAAACAUUCCUGCACUUUUGUUUCCCAUAGGAUUUUCAUUCCUCUUUUUUCCAAAGUAGAUGACUUUUCUUUGUAAUUUGCAAUUUGGUAUUUAUGAACUAUUUGUGAAGAAACAACAAGGACAACAUAUGAACCCUACCAUAAUAAAAUACAGUGUGCUUACAUGCAUACACACAUGCAAAACAGUGUUUUAGAAGUUUAAGAAUGAACUUCAGCCAAGAUACCUCUUUCCCCCAUCAGUGCCCUACUGUAUGGAACAAUGGUUAAAUAUUGUAAGAGCUGGCUGAGUGGCACUGGCAUGAAAUGAUUACAUUUCUAGAUGUAUAAUCACCUCUGGAUGUGACAGACUCACCUAUAGCAGCACAAUUCUCAAAAACUGCAUUUUCCAGUUUCUGGAGCAUGUCAAACUGACACCAUGAUGUGAUGGAGAGGGGAAAGUGACUUGAGGUCUAAUCCAUAUCCAUGGGUCUGGAAAUGUGUUCCUGUGCUUGCAGAAAGCAACAAGGGCUGUGAAAGUUACUUACUUAGUGUUCACUUAGUGUAUGUACAGAUGGAUUUGGUCCAUUAGUCCCAAUUCUCCAUUUAUCUCAAACAAUGACAGAGACCUCUCCAACAAGCAGCAGAGUGCUUGGUUUGUGCCACUGGCAACCUGCUAAGUGUGAAAACCAGGCACAAGCUCACCAAAUGUGUGAGGAAGCUAGAAGAGGAAAAAUUUAAAGGAAACAAAACAGGAAGAGGAGAAAGUUUGCCCUCAGUAACACCUGUUGCAUUUGCCAUUGGUUGUGAAACCCAUACACACCUAUAAACAGGUAUCUCUGGGGAAAUCAGCCAUCCAAGCAUAGAUGCACAGCCUGGGAUGAAGAGUAGGAGAAUCCAUGGGUUUUGUCCCCCAAGAUAUGAAUAUGUACCAGACUCCCAUAAAAGAUCAGGUGAAUCCAGUCAGACCUUAACCAAUCCCAAACUUCCCCAUUGCAAGCCCGUGUUCUAGCAUGCAGGUCUGAGAUGGGGAACAUAACAAAAUUUCAUUAAAUCCAUUGGUAACUUUUCAUUGCUGUUCCUAUAUGAGUCUAGGUUGAAAAUAUGGAGACAGCAUAGUGAUAAGGUGCAGUGCACAUUUAUAACUGGUUGUACAAGCCAAGCUAAUUUAUCAGCAUGAGGAUCUUUACAGGUGAAGUUUUCAUUACGCUUUUCCCUUGAAAAAUAGAGUACUGCCCUGAAAAGGGUGAGGGAAAAUUACACCAAUUCAUUUAAUUUCAUUUCAACUGAUUCUUCAGAUCCAAAACUUUAUAAAGAAAGGCUGGGUUCCAGAACUGCAUUUACUUUCCAGCUUUGCCAGCUUCUUAAGUGCACUCAUUGUGAGACAAGUUGAAUGCUUUAAGCUGAUUCAGCAGCUUAUCAAUAGCAUGGAAGGAAUCUGUACCAGUGAACUUGGACUUUUCUAGAUUGAAGAGUUGAAUGGGAGUCUUCUGAGAAUAGAA